AACAAAAUAGUUUAAUAAAUGUAAGAUUGUCAGUCUUAAGUUGCCUGUUGGCUUUUGUUU
rnacentral:tRNA from 1 species